UACGUAGGUGGCAAGCGUUGUCCGGAUUUACUGGGCGUAAAGAGCGCGCAGGCGGUCGAUUAAGUCGAGUGUGAAAUCCCCCGGCUCAACUGGGGAGGGUCAUUUGAUACUGGACGACUCGAAGGCAGGAGAGGGAAGUGGAAUUCCCGGUGUAGUGGUGAAAUGCGUAGAUAUCGGGAGGAACACCAGUGGCGAAGGCGACUUCCUGGCCUGUUCUUGACGCUGAGGCGCGAAAGCUAGGGGAGCGAACGGG
rnacentral:rRNA from 1 species